UACGUGUGAUCUCGUCCGGGCGUACGUC
rnacentral:sRNA from 1 species